rnacentral:lncRNA from 1 species
GCAGAGGCGUGGAAGGAGUCACGGGGCGCGCACGCCAGGGAAGACUACAAGGUGCGGAUCGAUGAGUACGAUCACUCCAAGCUCAUCCAGGGGCAACAGAAGAAGCCCUUUGAGGAGCACUGGAGGAAGCACACCCUGUCCUAUGUGGACGUCAGCACUGGGAAGUGCACAGCCAGAGAACAACACAUCACACACAAGAAACAGUUGUGCUCAUGUGAUGGGGGCCUCAGCACUAGGAAGGAGUGGACUGUUGGCGCACGCAGCAGCUUGAAUAAAUCUGAAAGUCACUACGCUGCGUAAGAGAAGCCAAAUAAAGCGCAUGCUGUGUACAGAGGGUGUCGAGAAUGUGUCCUACGUGACGGAAAGCAGAUCCGUGGUUCCCUGCAGACUGGCAGGAGCAGAUUCCAAAGGCACAGGAAGAAGCUUGCAGCUUCUCAGAUGACCAAGAUGGUGCUGCAGAUGGUGCUGAGGAUGGAGAACCCACCAAGCC